UUGGAGGGCAAGUCUGGUGCCAGCAGCCGCGGUAAUUCCAGCUCCAAUAGCGUAUAUUAAAGUUGCUGCAGUUAAAAAGCUCGUAGUUGAAUUUCGGGAUUAGCAGGUCGGUCGUGCCACUGGUACGUACUGGUCUUGCUGAUUCCUCCCUCUUGACGAGCCGUAAUGCCAUUAAUUUGGUGUUGCGGGGAAUCAGGACUGUUACUUUGAAAAAAUUAGAGUGUUUAAAGCAGGCAUGCGCUUGAAUACAUUAGCAUGGAAUAAUGAAAUAGGACGUUCGAUCUUAUUUUGUUGGUUUCUAGGAUUGACGUAAUGAUUAAUAGGGAUAGUUGGGGGCAUUAGUAUUCAAUUGUCAGAGGUGAAAUUCUUGGAUUUAUUGAAGACUAACUACCGCGAAAGCAUUUGCCAAGGAUGUUUUCAUUAAUCAAGAACGAAAGUUAGGGGAUCGAAGACGAUCAGAUACCGUCGUAGUCUUAACCAUAAACUAUGCCGACUAGGGAUCGGAUGAUGUUAAUUUUUUAAUGACUCAUUCGGCACCUUACGGGAAAC
rnacentral:rRNA from 1 species